rnacentral:rRNA from 1 species
GAUUAGCCUGCGUCCGAUUAGCUAGUUGGUGGGGUAAGGGCCUACCAAGGCGACGAUCGGUAGCUGGUCUGAGAGGAUGACCAGCCACACUGGAACUGAGACACGGUCCAGACUCCUACGGGAGGCAGCAGUGGGGAAUAUUGGACAAUGGGGGGAACCCUGAUCCAGCAAUGCCGCGUGUGUGAAGAAGGCCUGAGGGUUGUAAAGCACUUUCAGUGGGGAGGAGGGUUGAUAGGUUAAGAGCUAAUUAACUGGACGUUACCCACAGAAGAAGCACCGGCUAACUCCGUGCCAGCAGCCGCGGUAAUACGGAGGGUGCGAGCGUUAAUCGGAAUUACUGGGCGUAAAGCGUGCGUAGGUGGUUGAUUAAGUUAUCUGUGAAAUCCCUGGGCUUAACCUGGGCAGGUCAGAUGAUACUGGUUGACUCGAGUAUGGGAGAGGGUAGUGGAAUUUCCGGUGUAGCGGUGAAAUGCGUAGAGAUCGGAAGGAACACCAGUGGCGAAGGCGGCUACCUGGCCUAAUACUGACACUGAGGCACGAAAGCGUGGGGAGCAAACAGGAUUAGAUACCCUGGUAGUCCACGCUGUAAACGAUGUCAACUAGCUGUUGG